UACGGGGGGGGGCAAGCGUUGUUCGGAUUUAUUGGGCGUAAAGCGCUCGCAGGUGGUUCGUCGCGUCGUGCGUGAAAGACCCCGGCUCAACUGGGGGAGGUCGUGCGAUACGGGCGGACUGGAGGCCAGUAGGGGGAUGCGGAAUUCCGGGUGUAGUGGUGGAAUGCGUAGAGAUCCGGAGGAACACCAGCGGCGAAGGCGGCAUCCUGGACUGGUCCUGACACUCAGGAGCGAAAGCGUGGGGAGCGAGUCCGG
rnacentral:rRNA from 1 species